UUCCCUUAUCAAAAGCUACACUCGAUGCUGCGCUCAAUAGCGCUAAUGAGAACAUUCUAUGUUCGACCGGUUGUGAAGCACGUGUGUCAAACACGCCAAGAAUUGGCUUAAAUAACCUCGGUAGGUGACGUCACAUAUUACACGCACCUGCAGGUUAUAAAUAGAUGUGACACGGAAACACCCUCAGGUUUCUUUGUCUUCAAGGACCGCAUUGUGUGUGUGUGUGUGUCAAGAACGGGCAAAUAAGUAAACUAUAUAUAUAUAAAUAAAAUACUGCGUUGCAGUAAAAUAUUAGAAGAUAAAAGAGAAAGAAAAAGAAAAGAGUAUGACAGAAUCAAAUAAGAGAUGCAUGCCUCCGUGUCAGAGGCUCAUCUCGGAGGAUGAUCCUCACAGAUUCUGUUUUGAGUGUUUGGGGGAAGAGCACGCUGCCCUCGGGCUCGAGGGAGAAUGCGAGCACUGUGAUCUCCUAUCUGUUAAAGUGCUUCGCGCGCGGCUCGCGUUUUUCAAAAAGUACGAGCCAGCAGAUUCUCCCUCGUUAAGAUCCUGGGGGUCGCGUGUUGAUCUGGCCGAGGCGCGUGGGAUGACUCCGCCCCUUUCUCUCGCGCUCUCGCCAGAUCAUGAAGCCCUCGCGUCCGUUUCUCAAGCGCGCCCCGAUGAGUUGGUACGGUCGUGGAGUAAGCCAUAUUCGUCCCGUGUCUUUGUGCCGUCGACGUCGAUUUAUUCGACUAUCGUCGAUGCAAAGGCACGGGGCUAUUUGAUGAUGCCCCAGGUGGAAGAGACGCUUGCGGGCUAUCUCUCCCCUGGGACUUCAUCAUCCCUUAAAAAGCCUACACUCCCCACCAAGCCGUGCAGAAUGACAUCUUCGCUUGUGGGGAAAGCUUUUCAGGCUGCGGGUCAGGCUGGUGCUGCCCUGCACACCAUGGCGGUUCUGCAGGCAUACCAGGCUGACCUGCUUAAGGACUUGAGCACAGGCAGGUCCAUCGAUGAGGAGGCGUUUUUAGAACUUCGCCGAGCCACAGAUCUGUCUCUACGUGCGACUAAGCAGACGGCCCGUGCCAUCGGCCGUUCUAUGGCUGCUAUGGUCUCCACGGAGAGACAUCUGUGGCUGAACCUCACGGGCAUCAAGGAGAGGGAUCGAGCUUUCCUCCUUGAUGCCCCUGUCUCGCCUUCCGGCCUUUUUGGCGAUGCCGUAAACACUGUCGCCACUAGGUUUCGGGAGG
ensembl:lncRNA